CGCUAGAGAUCCUUGUUUGCCGUUUGUUGCAACCAAAGUGUGAAUUAGGUGGGGAAUAUUGGCCAUUGAUUUCUCAAAUCCCUCAAGUAAUGAUGGACUAGAUGAUCUCUAGUUUAUCAUUCAUCCAAACUCUUGAAGUAUUGGAGCAUCAAAUCUCCACAACAGCAGAUUCAAAAAUCUAGAGGCUUGUAAUUGAUUCCACUGUGAGCCCAAUUCCAGGUGAACUAUGAUUUUGUGUUUCGCAAUUGGAAAGUGUUUUUGGUGGACAAAAUCUGUGGUCAAAUGAUCAGUCCUUGGGAGAAGCGACAGCCAUAUUCGCAAUUGGGCUACUAAUGCAGGAUGCAAAAUCCUGGCAAUGACAUUGAUAUCUUUUCACUAGCUGUCUGCUGCAAUCAAGAAGGUAGUAUUGUGAUGCAUUUUAUUCUCUCCCCAUUCCAUUGUAUUUGCUAACACAUGCAUUAUUUUAUGAGAUCAUAAACAUUUAAAAGCAAAUUUGCUUCAUUUUUUCUUGGCAA